UCAUUUCUAGUCUAGUUAAGGAUGUUGCUUUGUCGUGGCGGUGGGGUAUGUUUUGUACGGGAUGAG
rnacentral:tRNA from 1 species